rnacentral:rRNA from 1 species
UACGUAGGUGGCAAGCGUUGUCCGGAUUUACUGGGCGUAAAGCGCCCGCAGGCGGCUUGGCAAGUCUGAGGUGAAAUCUCCCGGCUCAACUGGGGAGGGUCACGCGAUACUGAUCGACUCGAAGGCAGGAGAGGGUAGUGGAAUUCCCGGUGUAGUGGUGAAAUGCGUAGAUAUCGGGAGGAACACCAGUGGCGAAGGCGACUACCUGGCCUGUUUCUUGACGCUGAGGCGCGAAAGCUAGGGGAGCAAACGGG